rnacentral:rRNA from 1 species
AUCGGAAUUACUGGGCGUAAAGCGUGCGCAGGCGGUUUUGUAAGUCUGUCGUGAAAGCCCCGGGCUCAACCUGGGAAUUGCGAUGGAGACUGCAAGGCUUGAAUCUGGCAGAGGGGGGUAGAAUUCCACGUGUAGCAGUGAAAUGCGUAGAGAUGUGGAGGAACACCGAUGGCGAAGGCAGCCCCCUGGGUCAAGAUUGACGCUCAUGCACGAAAGCGUGGGGAGCAAACAGGAUUAGAUACCCUGGUAGUCAAGGGCG